ACAACUUCAAAAUUUCCCACGUUCUCAGUGAAAAUUUCUUGAAAAUAUUCAUUUCCCUCUCACUUUUGGUUUCCCUCCCCUUCUAAAAUUUCUCCCCGACUCCUUUUCCCUCUUCUAAAAUUAUAAUUUGUCUUUCAUUGUUGCGUUGUUUUUUUUCUCUAGAACCCUAGGUUGCAGGUCAAAUAUCAUUUGCGAUUCAAUUUGAUUUACUUUUCAAUAGAUUAUUAAUCCCAUUAGCCAAUUCAAAUUGAUCGGAACCCUAGACUGCAUGUCUAAUCUCUGUUUAUUCUGGCUUUUGCAGGUCAUUAAGCUCGUCUCGUCUUUUGUGACUCGUCUUCUUCGCUGUCAGCCAAUAUAAGCCCAAACCAUGAAAUCAUGGACAGAUCUUGGACGUAUUUUGCGUGCAACAUGGAACUUGAAGUAGAUGCUGAAGAAAAUGACCAUAACUCAAUUAUUACUCAUUAAUCAAUAUUCCUAUCUAGUGAUGGCUAGUGGUGCUGGCGGCAAGGUCUCUUUCAAGGUUAUCGCACCUCUGAUCCCAAGCUGCCAAUCAAAGUACUUAGCCCUCCAGAAGGAGCUCCUUUAGUGUUGCUCUUAAAUUUGCUGCUGAAUAAUUCAAAGUUCCUCAACAAACUAGUGCUGCCACCACCAACGGUUUUCAUUGCUCAUGCAUGUGAGGUUGUGUCAACUGUAUAUGGAGUAACUAAGCGCGUAUUCUAUUUUUGGAAUUACAUCUCCCACGUCUUAAUACUCUAUUAUGUGAGGUUAUUGCACUCGAAGGGGAACGUAAAGCUAACGACGGUAGAUCGAGACAAACAAGGAAUAUGAAAGAAUGUCAAUGUUCACGAACACAAAGCUUAUGGAUUUUGAGGGCAUAAUACCCGAACAUGCAAGUGAAAUGAUGACCUGAUCGAGGGUGUUAGUAAAAACAUAUUAUUUAAUAUUAUAUAAAGUUCAUAUUUAGUUAAUUCGUA